rnacentral:rRNA from 1 species
UACGGAGGGUGCAAGCGUUAUCCGGAUUCACUGGGUUUAAAGGGUGCGUAGGUGGGUCUGUAAGUCAGUGGUGAAAUCUCCGGGCUUAACCCGGAAACUGCCAUUGAUACUAUAGAUCUUGAAUUUUCUGGAGGUCAGCGGAAUAUGUCAUGUAGCGGUGAAAUGCUUAGAUAUGACAUAGAACACCAAUUGCGAAGGCAGCUGGCUACAGGAACAUUGACACUGAGGCACGAAAGCGUGGGGAUCAAACAGG